rnacentral:rRNA from 1 species
CAUGCAAGUCGAGCGGAAACGACAMYAWYRAWYCUUCGGRKGMKUURWUGGGCGUCGAGCGGCGGACGGGUGAGUAAUGCCUAGGAAAUUGCCUUGAUGUGGGGGAUAACCAUUGGAAACGAUGGCUAAUACCGCAUAAUGCCUACGGGCCAAAGAGGGGGAUCUUCGGACCUCUCGCGUCAAGAUAUGCCUAGGUGGGAUUAGCUAGUUGGUGAGGUAAUGGCUCACCAAGGCGACGAUCCCUAGCUGGUCUGAGAGGAUGAUCAGCCACACUGGAACUGAGACACGGUCCAGACUCCUACGGGAGGCAGCAGUGGGGAAUAUUGCACAAUGGGCGAAAGCCUGAUGCAGCCAUGCCGCGUGUAUGAAGAAGGCCUUCGGGUUGUAAAGUACUUUCAGUUGUGAGGAAGGGKGURWMGUUAAUAGCUGYRYMUCUUGACGU